rnacentral:rRNA from 1 species
AUACGUAGGGUGCGAGCGUUGUCCGGAAUUACUGGGCGUAAAGAGCUCGUAGGUAGUUUGUCGCGUCGUCUGUGAAAUUCCGGGGCUUAACUCCGGGCGUGCAGGCGAUACGGGCAUAACUUGAGUACUGUAGGGGAGACUGGAAUUCCUGGUGUAGCGGUGAAAUGCGCAGAUAUCAGGAGGAACACCUGUGGCGAAGGCGGGUCGCUGGGCAGUAACUGACGCUGAGGAGCGAAAGCAUGGGUAGCGAACAGGAUUAGAUACCCUGGUAGUCCAUGCCGUAAACGGUGGGCGCUAGGUGUAGGGGUCUUCCACGACUUCUGUGCCGUAGCUAACGCAUUAAGCGCCCCGCCUGGGGAGUACGGCCGCAAGGCUAAAACUCAAAUGAAUUGACGGGG